GGAACUCUUUUCCAACCUUAUGGAGUUCGUUAGACCAAAAAAAAAAAGAAAAAUGAAAAAAAAUUAUUUGGGGUGUUCGGGCUUCCUGAAGGUAAUACCCGGGUAUUAGGUUAUGGGGCUUAGGAAAUGUUUAAGGUUUUUGGCGUUAGGGUUAAAAUCACUGUCCAAAAACCUUUGUAGGAACUCUUUUCCAACCUUUUGGAGUUAGGUUGACCAAAAAAAAAAAGAAAAAAGGAAUAAAAAAUAUUUGGGGUGUUCGGGCUUCCUGAAGGUAAUACCCGGGUAUUAGGUUUUGGUGCUAGGGUAAGGUUUGAGGUUUUUGGCAUUAGGGUUAAAAUCACUGUCCAAAACCUUUUUAGGAACACCUUUCAGACCUUUUGGAGUUUGUACACCAAAAAAAUGUAAAAAGAAAAAAGAAAAAAAAAUAUUUGGGGUGUUCGGGCUUCCUGAAGGUAAUACCCGGGUAUUAGGUUUUGGGGCUAGGGUAAGGUUUGAGGUUUUUGGCAUUAGGGUUAAAAUCACUGUCCAAAACCUUUUAGGAACACGUUUCAGACCUUUUGGAGUUUGUACACCGAAAAAAAAAGUGUAAAAUUAAAAAGAAAUAUUUGGGGUGUUCGGGCUUCCUGAAGGUAAUACCCGGGUAUCAGGUUAUGGGGCUAGGGUAAGGUUUAAGGUUUUUGGCGUUACGGUUAAAAUCACUGUUCAAAACCUUUGUAGGAACUGUUUCUAAACUUUUGGAGUCAGUUAGACCCUAAAAAAAGAGAAAUGAAAAAAAAAUAUUUGGGGUUUUCAGGCUUCCUGGAGGUAAUACCCUAAUAUUAGGUUUUGGGGCUAGGGUAAGGUUUGAGGUUUUUGGCGUUAGGGUUAAAAUCACUGUCCAAAACCUUUUUAGGAACAUGUUUCAGACCUUUUGGAGUUGGUUACAUACAAAAAAAAUGUAAAAUGAAAAAAAAAAUAUUUGGGGUGUUCGGGCUUCCUGAAGGUAAUACCCGGGUAUUAGGUUAUGGGGCUUAGGAAAUGUUUAAGGUUUUUGGCGUUAGGGUUAAAAUCACUGUCCAACAACCUUUGUAGGAACUCUUUUCCAACCUUUUGGAGUUAGGUUGACCAAAAAAAAAAAGAAAAAAGAAAAAAAAUGUAUUUGGGGUGUUCGGGCUUCCUGAAGGUAAUACCCGGGUAUUAGGUUAUGGGGCUUUGGAAAGUUUUAGGGUUUUUGGCAUCAGGGUUAAAAUCACUGUCCAAAACCUUUGUAGGAACUCUUUUCCAAGCUUUUGGAGCUGGUUACACUAAAAAAAAUGUAAAAUGAAAAAAAAAUAUUUGGGGUGUUCGGGCUUCCUGAAGGUAAUACCGGUAUUAGGUUAUGGGACUAUGGUAAGUUUUAAGGUUUUUGGCGUUAGGGUUAAAAUCACUGUCCAAAACCUUUGUAGGAACUCUUUUCCAAGCUUUUGGAGUUAGUUAGACCAAAAAAACAUGAAAAAUUAAAAAAUAUAUAUUUGGGGUGUUCGGGCUUCCUGAAGGUAAUACCCGGGUAUUAGGUUUUGGGGCUAAGGUAAGGUUUAAGGUUUUUGGCGUGAGGGUUAAAAUCACUGUCCAAAACCUUUGUAGGAACUCUUUUCCAACCUUUUGGAGUCAGUUACACCAAAAUAAAAAUGUAAAAUGAAAAAAAAAUAAUUUGGGGUGUUCGGGCUUCCUGAAGGUAAUACCCCGGUAUUAGAUUAUGGGGCUAUGGUAAGGGUUAAGGUUUUUGGCGUUAGGGUUAAAAUCACUGUCCAAAACCUUUGUAGGAACUCUUUUCCAACCUUUUGGAGUUAGUUAGACCAAACAAAAAUGAAAAAUGAAAAAAAAAUAUUUGUGGUUUUCGGGCUUCCUGAAGGUAAUACCCGGGUAUUAGGUUAUGGGGCUUUUGAAAGUUUUAGGGUUUUUGGCAUUAGGGUUAAAAUCACUGUCCAAAACCUUUGUAGGAACUCUUUUCCAACAUUUCGGAGUUCGUUAGACCAAAAAAAAGAUGAAAAAACAUAUAUAUAUAUAUUUGGGGUGUUCGGGCUUCCUUAAGGUAAUACCCGGGUAUUGAAUUAUGGGGCUAUGGUAAGGUUUAAGGUUUUUGGUGUUAAGGUUAAAAUCACUGUCCAAAACCUUUGUAAGAACUCUUUUCCAAGCUUUUGGAGCUGAUUACACUAAAAAAAAUGUAAAAUGAAAAAAAAAUAUUUUGGGUGUUCGGGCUUCCUGAAGGUAAUACUUAGUAUUACCUUUGUAGGGACUCUUUUCCAAGCUUUUGGAGCUGAUUUCACUAAAAAAAAUGUAAAAUGAAAAAAAAAUAUUUGGGGUGUUCGGGCUUCCUGAAGGUAAUACCCGGGUAUUAGGUUAUGGGGCUAUGGUAAGUUUUAAGGUUUUUGGCGUUAGGGAUAAAAACACUGUCCAAAACCUUUGUAGGAACUCUUUUCCAACCUUUUGGAGUUAGUUAGACCAAAAAAAAAAGAAAAAAGGAAUAAAAAAUAUUUGGGAUUUUCGGGCUUCCUGAAGGUAAUACCCGGGUAUUAGGUUUUGGGGCUAGGGUAAGGUUUGAGGUUUUUGGCAUUAGGGUUAAAAUCACUGUCCAAAACCUUUUUAGGAACAUGUUUCAGAUCUUUUGCAGUUGGUUAAACCAAAAAAAAAAGUAAAAUGAAAAAAAAAUAUUUGGGGUGUUCGGGCUUCCUGAAGGUAAUACCCGGGUAUUAGGUUAUGGGGCUAUAGUUAGGUUUAAGGUUUUUGAAGUUAGGGUGAAAAUAACUGUCCAAAUCCUUUGUAGGAACUCUUUUCCAACCUUAUGGAGUUCGUUAGACCAAAAAAAAGAAAAAUGAAAAAAAAAUAUUUGGGGUGUUCGGGCUUCCUGAAGGUAAUAGGAAAUUGGAAAGGUUUAUGGUUUUUGGCGUUAGGGUUAAAAUUACUGUCCAAAAACCUUUGUAGGAACUCUUUUCCAACCUUUUGGAGUUAGGUAGACCAAAAAAAAAAGAAAAACGAAAAAAAAAUAUUUGGGGUGUUUGGGCUUCCUGAAGGUAAUACCCGGGAAUUAGGUUUUGGUGCUAGGGUAAGGUUUGAGGUUUUUGGCAUUAGGGUUAAAAUCACUGUCCAAAACCUUUUUAGGAACACCUUUCAGACCUUUUGGAGUUUGUACACCAAAAAAAAAAUGUAAAAUGAAAAAAAAAUAUUUGGGGUGUUCGGGCUUCCUGAAGGUAAUACCCGGGUAUCAGGUUAUGGGGCUAUGGUAAGGUUUGAGGUUUUUGGCAUUAGGGUUAAAAUCACUCUCCAAAACCUUUUAGGAACAUGUUUCAGACCUUUUGGAGUUUGUACACCAAAAAAAAAAAUUGUAAAAUGAAAAAAAAAUAUUGGGGGUGUUCGGGCUUCCUGAAGGUAAUACCCGGGUAUCAGGUUAUGGGACUAUGGUAAGGUUUAAGGUUUUUGGCGUUAGGGUUAAAAUCACUGUCCAAAACCUUUGUAGGAACUCUUUUCCAACCUUUUGGAGUCAGUAUGACCAAAAAAAAAUAAAAAAUAAAAAAAUAUAUAUAUUUGGGGUGUUCGGGCUUCCUGAAGGUAAUACCCAGGUAUUAGGUUAUGGGGCUUAGGAAAGGUUUAAGGUUUUUGGCCUUAGGGUUAAAAUCACUGUCCAAAACCUUUUUAGGAACACGUUUCAGACCUUUUGGAGUUUGUACACCAAAAAAAAAUGUAAAAUUAAAAAAAAAUAUUUGGGGUGUUCCGGCUUCCUGAAGGUAAUACCCGGGUAUCAGGUUAUGGGGCUAUGGUAAGGGUCAAGGUUUUUGUUGUUAGGGUUAAAAUCACUGUCCAAAACCUUUGUAGGAACUCUUUUCCAACCUUUUCGAGUCAGUUAGACCAAUAAAAAAUAAAAAAAAUAAAAAAAAUUUAUUUGGGGUGUUCGGGCUUCCUGAAGGUAAUACCCGCGUAUUAGAUUAUGGGGCUAUGGUAAGGUUUAAGGUUUUUGGCGAUAGGGUUAAACUAACUGUCCAAAACCUUUUUAGGAACAUGUUUCAGACCUUUUGGAGUUGGUUACACCAAAAAAAAAAGUAAAAUGAAAAAAAAAUAUUUGGGGUGUUCGGGCUUCCUGCAGGUAUUAGGUUAUGGAGCUAUGGUAAGGGUUCAGUUAUUUGGCGUUAGGGUUAAAAUUAUUGUCCAAAACCUUUGUAGGAACUCUUUUCCAACCUUUUGGAGUUAGUUAGACCAAAAAAAAAUGAAAAAUGAAAAAAAAAUAUUUGGGGUGUUCAGGCUUCCUGAAGGUAAUACCCGGGUAUUAGGUUAUGGGGCUUAGGAAAUGUUUAAGGUUUUUGGCAUUAGGGUUAAAAUCACUGUCCAAAAACCUUUGUAAGAACUCUUUUCCAAACUUUUGGAGUUAGGUUGACCAAAAAAAAAAAGAAAAAAGAAAAAAAAAUAUUUGGGGUGUUCGGGCUUCCUGAAGGUAAUACCCGGGUAUCAGGUUAUUGGGCUAUGGUAAGGUUUAAGGUUUUUGGCGUUACAGUUAAAAUCACUGUCCAAAACCUUUGUAGGAACUCUUUUCCAACCUUUUGGAGUCAGUUAGACCCCAAAAAAAGAGAAAUGAAAAAAAAAUAUUUGGGGUUUUCAGGCUUCCUGGAGGUAAUACCCUAAUAUUAGGUUUUGGGGCUAGGGUAAGGUUUGAGGUUUUUGGCGUUAGGGUUAAAAUCACUGUCCAAAACCUUUUUAGGAACAUGUUUCAGACCAUUUGGAGUUGGUUACAUACAAAAAAAAUGUAAAAUGAAAAAAAAAAUAUUUGGGGUGUUCGGGCUUCCUGAAGGUAAUACCCGGGUAUUAGGUUAUGGGGCUAUGGUAAGGGUUCAGUUUUUUGGCAUUAGGGUUAAAAUUAUUGUCCAAAACUUUGUAGGAACUCUUUUCCAACCUUUUGGAGUUCGUUAGACCAAAAAAAAAGAAAAAUGAAAUAAAAAAUAUUUGGGGUGUUCGGGCUUCCUGAAGGUAAUACCCGGGUAUUAGGUUAUGGGGCUUAGGAAAUGUUUAAGGUUUUUGGCGUUCGGGUUAAAAUCACUGUCCAAAAACCUUUGUAGGAACUCUUUUCCAACCUUUUGGAGUUAGGUUGACCAAAAAAAAAAAGAAAAAAGAAAAAAAAAUAUUUGGGGUGUUCGGGCUUCCUGAAGGUAAUACCCGGGUAUUAGGUUUUGGUGCUACGGUAAGGUUUGAGGUUUUUGGCAUUAGGGUUAAAAUCACUGUCCAAAACCUUUUUAGGAACACCUUUCAGACCUUUUGGAGUUUGUACACCAAAAAAAAAUGUAAAAUGAAAAAAAAAUAUUUGUGGUGUUCGGGCUUCCUGAAGGUAAUACCCGGGUAUCAGGUUAUGGGGCUAUGGUAAGGUUUAAGGUUUUUGGCGUUAGGGUUAAAAUCACUGUCCAAAACCUUUGUAGGAACUCUUUUCCAAACACGGAGUCAGUUAGACCAAAAAAAAAUGAAAAAUGAAAUAAAAAAUAUUUGGGGUGUUCAGGCUUCCUGAAGGUAAUACCCGGGUAUUAGGUUAUGGGGCUUAGGAAAUGUUUAAGGUUUUUGGCGUUAGGGUUAAAAUCACUGUCCAAAACCUUUGUAGGAACUCUUUUCCAAACUUUUGGAGUUAGGUUGACCAAAAAAAAAAAGAAAAAAGAAAAAAAAUGUAUUUGGGGUGUUCGGGCUUCCUGAAGGUAAUACCCGGGUAUUAGGUUAUGGGGCUAUGGAAAGGUUUUGGGUUUUUGGCAUCAGGGUUAAAAUCACUGUCCAAAAACCUUUGUAGGAACUCUUUUCCAACAUUUUGGAGUUAGUUAGACCAAAAAAAAAAGAAAAAAGGAAUAAAAAAUAUUUGGGGUGUUCGGGCUUCCUGAAGGUAAUACCCGGGUAUUAGGUUUUGGUGCUAGGGUAAGGUUUGAGGUUUUUGGCAUUAGGGUUAAAAUCACUGUCCAAAACCUUUUUAGGAACACCUUUCAGACCUUUUGGAGUUUGUACACCCAAAAAAAAAUGUAAAAUGAAAAAAAAAAAUUUGGGGUGUUCGGGCUUCCUGAAGGUAAUACCCGGGUAUCAGGUUAUGGGGCUAUGGUAAGGUUUAAGGUUUUUAGCGUUAGGGUUAAAAUCACUGUCCAAAACCCUUUUAGGAACUCUUUUCCAAACUUUUGGAGUUUGUACACCAAAAAAAAAAU